rnacentral:rRNA from 1 species
GUCGGAGGAAGUGGGGAUGACGUCAAAUCAUCAUGCCCUUAUGACCUGGGCUACACACGUGCUACAAUGGGCGGUACAAAGGGUCGCGAACCCGCGAGGGGGAGCCGAAUCCCAAAAAAGCCGCUCUCAGUUCGGAUUGCAGGCUGCAACUCGCCUGCAUGAAGCCGGAAUCGCUAGUAAUCGCGGAUCAGCAUGCCGCGGUGAAUACGUUCCCGGGCCGUU